rnacentral:lncRNA from 1 species
UUUGGUGAUGCUUCAUUGUUGCAACCCCACUUCUGGUCAAAAGGAAAGAGAACCAUGCUGGGAAUGGAGCCUGAAGUCAAGGUUUCUAGAAAAAAGGCCGUCCUGGGAGUGUCUGAGGGAAAGGGACCUGCUGCUGAAGGGCUGCACCUACACCACCAGAUCUGAGCUGCGUCUGUGACCCACUGAGCAGGGCCAGGGAUUGAACCUGCCUCUUCAUGGAUCCUAGUCCGGUUCUUAACCACUGAGCCACAGUGGGAACUCCCUAAACCUGCUUUACAUUUUCACGAGUGAUUCAUCCGUGAAUGAACACAAGUAGACAAGAGACCCUGUAACCAGUAAGGCCCAAGGGGACAUCUGCAGAUGGCAUCUCUGCCUGAAUAGAGAGGGAGCCUAGCAAGGACACAAAUUGUGCCUCUGUCCUUUCCUCCUUGCUGGGAUGUCCAUGAAAGAACAUGAUGCCUGUAAUUUUGCUAGCCAGCUUUGGACUCUUUGCUGACAAAGAUCAGAGAGAAAAGCCAACACUCAAAAGAUGGUGGAAAGAAGAAUGAAGAGUUUGGGUCCUCGAGAGUACCUUUGAGUGGCUGAAUUACCCUGAAGCCACCCACCCCUCCAGACUCUUGUGAGACCAGCAAUGAAGCCGUGGCUUCAUUGGUGGUCUUUUCCUCACACUCUAACUCAUGCUAAGGGAUACACCAACAACUCAUGUAUUCCUAUCUUUUUUUUUUGGCCACACCCAUAGUAUGCAGAAGUUCCUGGGCCAGGGAUUGAACCUGUGCCAUAGCAGCGACUUGAGCAGGUCCUCAACCCACUUCGCCACCAGGGAACUCUGAUACCUUUUUUUUUAUUUUUAUUUUUUUAAUUUUUUUUAGGGCCACAUCCAUGGUAUAUGGAAGUUCCCAGGCUAGGGGUCCAAUCGGAGCUGCAGUUGCCAGCCUACACCACAGCCACAGCAAUGCCAGAUCCUUAACCCACUGAAUGAAGCCAGGGAUCAAACCUGCAUCUCAUGGAUACUUGUCGGGUUCAUAACCCACUGAGUCACAAUGGGAACGCCCCUACUACUUUAAAUGAUCUUUUAAACUGAGUUCUUAGUAAAUGACUUGCAUUGAAAAAAAAAAAAAAAAACCACUUUAAAAAAAAAUCCUGAGUUAAAAGGUUAUGGAAAAAUGGAAUCCUUUACA